GAUGAACGCUAGCGGCAGGCUUAACACAUGCAAGUCGAGGGGCAGCACGGGUAGCAAUACCUGGUGGCGACCGGCGCAAGGGUGCGUAACGCGUGAGCAACAUGCCCUAUACAGGGGGAUAAUCCAGGGAAACUUGGUCUAAUAUCCCAUAGUAUUUAGAGGAGGCAUCUUCUAUAAAUUAAAGCUUCGGUGGUAUAGGAUUGGCUCGCGUGACAUUAGCUAGAUGGUGAGGUAACGGCUCACCAUGGCAAUGAUGUCUAGGGGUUCUGAGAGGAAGGCCCCCCACACUGGGACUGAGACACGGCCCAGACUCCUACGGGAGGCAGCAGUGAGGAAUAUUGGACAAUGGAUGGAAGACUGAUCCAGCCAUGCCGCGUGAAGGUUACGGUCCUAUGGAUUUUAAACUUCUUUUGUAUGGAAGCAAUAAGGUGCACGCGUGCAUCGAUGAGAGUACCAUACGAAUAAGCAUCGGCUAACUCCG
rnacentral:rRNA from 1 species